UAUAACCAUGUUUUGCGAUAACAAAGCAGCGUCAAAACGGCUGGGAAGGUGGUCUUCCACAGCAUACGGAUUUUACAUCCGGUUGAAUUCGAAGCAGUAUAGAUCCUUGUCCACUUCUUCUACGGCGGGUCUUCGUUCGACGCACCUCCAUCCACCCCACCACCACCAGGUCGGCCUCAGUCUACUUGUCCAGGGGAAGGCUCCGCCCCUGCUAGUCCUGGCAGGAUACGCCGAGUCCGCACGUCACCCUGGAUCAGUGAUGGGGCUCAUGCCAAAGAUUUACCAUGCAAAAUAUUCCCAUGUCGUUAUUUAAAUAAACCCUGUUCAUACUUAUCGGUGAUCGAGUCUUUAUGGGAGAACUUAAAGAAGAGGUUAUGA
ensembl:lncRNA